rnacentral:tRNA from 1 species
GGUACGCUAGCAAAGCGGUUAUGCACUGGAUUGCAAAUCCAUGUAGCUCGGUUCGACUCCGGGGCGUACCU